GAGGGGAGCUCAAUGGAGUAGAGGGCUUCGGCCCAUGGGACGAAGUGAGGAAGAAAAAAAUAGAAAGAAAGGCAGAGUGGGAGAGUAGUUUGUAGAUAUUAGUGUGUAAUAAUUCUUCUGUCUUAGAAUAGAGAUGAAAUCCUGAUCAAAUAAUUGAGGUGCUUGGCGGUCGUGGAAUUGGGUUUUGUGGGGGUCUGUAUCAAAAUCUUAGGAUCAUGUUUGAUUCACAAGACUAAUGGUGAGGCGUGUUAUGCGGAUGAAUUGUGGAGAAGAAAAGCUCUGUAAAAGCAGAAGUUCAGGUUCUUGGUGCCCUGCCCUGCCCAGAUAAAUCUUUCAUUGUUGUUCUUUCAUUUUAUUCCCUCUUUUCUUUUCUGUAACUGAA